UCACACGACGCUGAGUCACUGGGGGAGCCAGACCUGCGUGUAGAAUAAGAUGAAACUGCUGGGCCUCCUCCUGUGCCUGCUGACAGCCCCUCAGGGUGUCUGGUCCCAGGUGCAGCUGCAGGAGUCAGGCCCAGGACUGGUGAAGCCCUCGCAGACUCUCUCCCUCACCUGCACUGUCUCUGGAUUAUCCAUCACUAGUAACGACUGGAGCUGGAUCCGCCAACCCCCAGGGAAGGGGCUGGAGUGGAUCGGGUACAUAAGUGGUGGUGGAAGCACUUACUACAGCCCGUCCUUCAAGAGCCGGGCCUCCAUCUCCAGAGACACGUCCAAGAAACAGUUCUCCCUGCAGCUGAGCUCCAUGAGCACCGAGGACACAGCCGUGUAUUACUGUGCAAGAGACACAGAGCAGCUGGUGCCCUCUGGGUCUGAGGUGAGGAAGCCUGCAGCCUCAGUGAAUGUCUCCAGCAAGGCUUCUGGGUACACCUCCAAGAUUUCCCUGUAUUCUCUGUAUGAGAGGCCCUGGAAAAGCACCUGA